UACAGAGGGUGCAAGCGUUGUUCGGAAUUAUUGGGCGUAAAGCGCGUGUAGGCGGCUUUGCAAGUCGGGUGUGAAAGCCCUCGGCUCAACCGAGGAAGUGCGCCCGAAACUGCAGAGCUUGAGUACCGGAGAGGGUGGCGGAAUUCCCCAAGUAGAGGUGAAAUUCGUAGAUAUGGGGAGGAACACCGGUGGCGAAGGCGGCC
rnacentral:rRNA from 1 species